ACCAUCUUUGAGCAGAGGUUCCUCCAGAGCAUGCGGGCCAUACAAGGGGCGGUUAUAGUGUCCUCCAGUAUUCGGAUCAUCCUUGGUUACAGCCAGCUCUGGGGUAUCUUCUCCAGGUACCACCACACACUGUCAAGUACUAGUUGUACUAGUGGCCAACCCGUGCAUUCGCUCGGCCUAGUUACUUAA
rnacentral:rRNA from 1 species